CGGGUGAGUAACACGUAGACAACCUGCCCCCUGGCCCGGGACAACCUCUGGAAACGGAGGCUGAUACCGGACGGGCAGGAGAGGGGCAUCCCUCUCCUGUGAAAGGCCCUGCAAGGGGCCGCGAGGGGAUGGGUCUGCGGUGCAUUAGCUAGUUGGCGGGGCAGCGGCCCACCAAGGCGACGAUGCAUAGCCGGCCUGAGAGGGCGGACGGCCACAUUGGGACUGAGACACGGCCCAGACUCCUACGGGAGGCAGCAUG
rnacentral:rRNA from 1 species